AUACGUAGGGUGCAAGCGUUAAUCGGAAUUACUGGGCGUAAAGCGUGCGCAGGCGGUUUUGUAAGACAGUGGUGAAAUCCCCGGGCUCCACCUGGGAACUGCCAUUGUGACCGCAAGGCUGGAGUGGGGCAGAGGGGGAUGGAAUUCCGCGUGUAGCAGUGAAAAGCGUAGAUAUGCGGGGGAACACCGAUGGCGAAGGCAAUCCCCUGGGCCUGCACGUACGCUCAUGCGCGAAAGCGUGGGGAGCAAACAGGAUUAGAUACCCUGGUAGUCCACGCCCUAAGCGAUGUCAACGGUGUGUUGGGGAUUUAUUUUCUCAGUAACGAAGCUAACGCGUGAAGUUGACCGCCUGGGGAGUACGGCCGCAAGGUUAAAACUCAAAGGAAUUGACGGGG
rnacentral:rRNA from 1 species